rnacentral:rRNA from 1 species
UACAGGGGGUGCAAACGUUGCUCGGAAUUAUUGGGCGUAAAGCGCGCGUAGGCGGCUACCUAAGUCGGAUGUGAAAGCCCCUGGCUUAACUGGGGAAGUGCACCCGAAACUGAGUAGCUAGAGUGCGAAAGAGGGUCGCGGAAUUCCCGGUGUAGAGGUGAAAUUCGUAGAUAUCGGGAGGAACACCGGUGGCGAAGGCGGCCAGCUAGACCAGUUCUGACACUGAGGCGCGACAGCGUGGGGAGCAAAUAGG